rnacentral:rRNA from 1 species
UGCGUAGGCGGCGGCAUAAGUCAGAAGUGAAAGUUGGCAGCUUAACUGCAAAAUUGCUUUUGAUACUGUGUUGCUUGAAUCACGUUGAGGCUGGCGGAAUGUGGCAUGUAGCGGUGAAAUGCUUAGAUAUGCCAUAGAACACCAAUUGCGAAGGCAGCUGGCUAGACGUGUAUUGACGCUGAGGCACGAAAGCGUGGGGAGCGAACAGGAUUAGAUACCCUGGUAGUCC